rnacentral:lncRNA from 8 species
AUGGAGGAGGAGUGGGGAGAAGUUGUACAAAAGGCUGAGGUGGUGCACAGACUGUUGCAAGGUGUGGUGGAACGCCUGGUGUCCUGUCAGUACCAGAAGUGUCAAGCCCAGUCCCGUCUGGCUGAGCUCCAGCAACAGACAGCAGAGCUGCCCCGUCACUUCCCCUGGCCUGGGCUGGGAGACCGGGGGCAGGCUGUGGAGACGGCCAGGACCCUGCUGGAUAAAACCAGGAACCUGGCCCCAGCCCUCUCUGUCCUCCACACCCAGGGCAAGGAAAUGUUCCAGCUUACCCAGGACCCCAGCUGGACAGACCUCUCCUGGGCCACCAUGGAGGAAUGCAUCCCUGCCCUUCUCAAAGAACUGACGGAGGCCUGUGUGAGGAUGGAGGAGGGCAUCCACAUGGAGAGGCACUGUGCCCAGCUAGUGGAACAGCAUGGGGCAGCCCAGGACUGGCUGAGGGAGCAUGUGAAGGGUCUGGGCCCGCAGCCCACAGACAGACAGGCUCUACACAGCUACGCCAACACCCUGAAGGUUAGUUACAGGAGCAUGGAAAAGAGCAUGAAAGAACAGCAUUGUAUUGCAAUGAAACAUGCCAUUUGCUAUUAGCUUAUUUGUGCGUCGCAAAAUAUGUCAUACUUUUGUUUUACUAUAUGUGUUUCAGGACAGCUUGUUAAGGCCAUAUUGUCCAUAUUGCUAGUCUGAGGGUUGUAAAUACUGUAUGUGCCCUCCUCCCCCAGGCCCUGCUCCAGACUGUCGACAGGGAGGAGAGGGAGAUGAGGGAGCUGGACGCAAUCCGAGACACCCUGCUGAGCCGCUGCACCCCUGCCGGUCGGGAUACCCUGACCCUGGAGGUCAGCCACCUCCAGGACCUCCUCACUUCUUCUGAGAGAGAGAUGAGGGAAAGGCUGGCAGGCUGCGAGGCCCAGCUGAAGGAGCUGGAUGCGAAGAUGGCCAAGAAGGCCCAGGGCCUGAGGGAGAGGGCCAAAGCACUGCAGUGGGAGCUCCGUUCUCUGGACCAGGCCCUGAGCUACAGCGAGCCACACCCCAACAUAGCCCAGCUCCAGCAGCACUGGCACAGCCUCAAGGUACCUCCGCUGCUUCAAAUGACUCUGCUCUGUUUGGCACUGUACUACUGCCCUGGAUCAAUGCAUGAUCAUUUAGUUCCCAUAUUAAGAUAUUUCUUUUUAAACAACUUAAAAGAAUCAAUGUACACAAUCUGUGGGAAAUUUGCAACAAAGUAAAUACAAAUCAAUUAUAGUUCUAUAUCGCUCAGAGACUCUAACCUGAGUUUUACACUUGUGAUUUCUGCACCCUUUAGAACUGCGAGAGGUCGUUGGAGGGGUUAGGGCUUAAAGUUCAUGACCUGCGUCAGGCUGCCAGAUCUGCAUCCACAGAGGAGGACCUUCCCGCUGAAGUCAUCUCCAUAAUGGAGUUACUGAGCCAGCAGCACGACAGGUACUAGACUUGGCAUCCCAAACAUUCAGCUCAUUUAUCAAACUGUGCAGUGCACAGAACCUCUUCCUGUUGCUCUCCAAGUUUAAACUCAGCUGGCUCUCUUCCAUUUCAAUUUCAGUUUUAAUUGUUAUUACUCCCUUAUAUCAUAGAUAACGGAACAUGCUGAUCUUUCUUUGUAGUUUGAGGGGUAGCAAGUUGCAAAAGAUAGAGACAUGGAAUUCUUAUAUACAUGAGUAGCUGGGAUGUUUAGUAUAGUAGCUAUUAACUAAUCUAAGAGAUUGUAUCAGCUUGUACAUAUGAAUAUCCUGUCAGUGUGCUGAUGCUAUUCUCUCUCUCUCUCUCUCUCACUCUCACUCUGUGUGUAGUCUGAAGACCAGGUUGGGUGAGAGGCAGAGCUGCUGCACUGAGAACACAGCUCACUGCCUCACAGCCUCUGUUCAGCUUCUGCAGCAGUGGAACCACUCCUCACACACACGGACAGCCCCCUCCAUCCAGGUUAUAGCACAGGCCUCUCAAUCAAACAGAAUGAAUGUUGAUAUGAUGAAGUUUAAAGUCUUCAAUAUAUCUAAAUCGAUAUUUAAUUCGGUUUGUGUCAGCUUUUGUACUUUCAUUGCACAAUCUAGUUUUAUGAGCAUCACAUGCAAUACAAUUGAAAGUUUCCCAGUAAUGUUGGUGUCAAUAUCGGGUGUAUGAGAGGCGAAGUCAGGUGCAGGAGAGAAGCGAAAUAUAACCAAGCGCACUUUAUUAUAGUUCCAAAAUACGAGAGCAUUACAUAAAUAUAAAUGCGCUCAAAACCACGGAACAUAACCAAAGUAAAGCGCGUAAAUCAAACACCACGAAAACAUGAAACAAUUACACACAAAACAUGAUGGGAAACAGAGGGUUAAAUACAAGUAGAUUGAUUGGGGAAAUGAAAACCAGGUGUGUAUGGAAACAAGACAAGACAAAUGGAUAUAUGAAAAAUGGAGCGGCGAUGGCUAGAAAGCCAGUGACGUCGAUCGCGGAACUUCACCCGAACAAGGAGAGGAGCCGACUUCGGCGGAAGUCGUGACAGUUAGCUACCUGGGUAUUGGGAGCAAAUUAUUGGAACUGUAGAGGGAACACAAUAUUCCUGUAUGCCAUGCUGAAGUAAUUGCCAGGGUGCAUAAGUGUGUCGAUGUUUUGAAUUUGGUCAUUAUUUCCAAUUAUUACAGGAACAUUAUCAAGGACUUUAUUUAGUGCCUAUGGGUACAUCCUGUAAUACGUGACGUAGGUCCACUCACUGUGGUCCAUUUGCUAGAUUGUUGAAACAACAUGAAUCAGAGCUAGUGAGGUCAGGGAUAUAAACUAUUCCAAGAACUCAGAGUUUUUGAGUAAACAUGGAAACACUCAUCACUCACUGAUGGUAGAACAUGUGACAGUGGUUCUUCCUGCUUCAGGCUGCAUUAGAGGAGGGUGUGCAGUUCCAAAAGGCCCUGAAGGAGGUGCUGUCUCACAGACAGUUCCUGGUGGACUGCCUGAAGCCUGACCAAGCAGACAGACUGGAGAAAGACACCACUGCAACACUCAGGGAUGCAGACACACACAGCACCUUUCUCACCAAGACUCUGAAAGUGAGAACUUUACCGAUCCCCAACCAGCCCAUUGUUAAACUGCUUAAUGCAACAACAUUUUGUAUUCAUAUUUUCUCUCCUUUUCCCUCCCAGGAUGUAGCUGAGAAGAGUAAACAGACAAUAGAUGUGACUCAGCCCGUUGUUGUCACCUCAGUCCAGACAGAAGACAAACCAGCCGCACCACCUAGGAGGACAGCCAAGACCAAGCAGACUCCCACCCAGGAGAGUCAGCAAGCUACACCACAGUUGCUUCUCCAUAUCACAGAGAAAAACAUACCACAACCACUCCCCCCUGUCACAGAGAAAAUCAUACCAGUCAAACAAG